GAAUUUUAUAUAUAUUUGUGAUUGGUAUUAAAUGUAUAAUUAUAGGUGUAUAUUUUAUUGGGAGGAUAGUUAAAUUAAUAAAACUUUAAUAAAAAUAAUAAGUCAUUAAUUUAUGAGUUAGAAUAAGAGUGGCUAAUUGAAGUUUAAAUAGAAUUAAUUACCUUAGGGAUAACAGCAUAAUAUUUUUAGAAAGAUCUUAUUAAUAAAAAUGAUUGU
rnacentral:rRNA from 1 species